UCCAACCCUGUCCAUUCUGUGAUUCUGUGAUUAUUGCUAGCAUCUCUGCAGCAUCUGACCAUUGAGCUUUGAGAAAUGGAAGGCUGCAUUCCAGUCCCCACUCCAUAUGAGUCUCUGAACUGUAGAUAUUUAUUUGCCCAUACAGUGUGGAGCCAUUAGCACUGGGUUUUAGUUUAAAAGUAGGUUAGCAUAUAAAGUACAUCACUAGCCUGGACUGGCUAAAAGGACUGCUGUGACUUCUACCAUUUGGAGGAAAACAUGUCGCUUGGAACUGCUGCUCAGCCAUCCCUGGCAAGGUUAAAUUUGAGCUACAGGGCUUAUAGGAGGAUUUCUGAGUAGCAAUUGUUCUGCCAUUGAUGGGAACAUGUUGUGAACCACUGAGUUUCCAGCAUUUUUCUCCAAGGCAUUUUUCUCCUAACUUCAAGUUUGCAUUUAUCUCAUCCCCACAUAGAAAGUGACAUAUGCUUGGGUGCUUUGCUUUUUAAUCUGUCUUCUCUCUGGCCAUAGCAACACAGAUACAGAAGAAAGGCUCAUAAAUCAGCCCACUGUUUCUCAUCACCAAAAUCUGGUGCGUGGCUUUGUUUAAUAUGUGGGCUUUUAUGACAGUCUUCAAAGGAAUUUAUGAGUUUAGAAAUAACAUUAAAUCAGUUCCAAGGACAAUGUUGGACUUUGUCCAAUACUAUCAGUAAAGCAUUGUGUAGCACUGUCAUUUCUCCAAGUGUUUUGGAGUUUCCAACUUUGCUACAGUGUUCACAGCGACUUUCGGUCGAAGGGAUAGGAAAUUGUCACACCCUGCUAGGUGCUUGCAGUUUGGUCACAGUAGCAUGUGGUGGGGUGAAACAGUUGAUCCUUGCAGGGUUUUGUCCUACGCUGUAGUGAAGAGGUCUUACCCUUAGGCCAUCACUAGGCAGAAGCAAUUCAGAAUAAAGCUGAACUUGUGAAGAGCUGGGUUAAUGGUAAAAAGCUGCCUUUAAUGUUAACUGGUCCCUGUUUUUAUAGUGCAGAAGAGAUUUGCUAUGCAAGCAUCCACAGUGCCGCAUCAGAUAUCAGAUAUGUUUUCUUCCCAAAGACCAACAGCCUGAUCACAAGAACAAGGACCAUGCAAAGGGAAAGCAGAGCCUGAUCGCACAGUCCACCAUUAAGAAAUCUCCCAUCCCUCUUCUUCCUCUCUUCCCUCUUCUUGCGCAAUUUAUGCCCUGAUCUCUUGUUGACAGAAACGACUUCAGGCAAUGGAGGAGGCUGCUUGGCUGAGCUCAGAGGUACUUCCAGCUUCAUGCUGCUGACACGGUCCAUUAACUAUUGAAUCUGUGCAGAGACUCCAGCCAUGCUGCAGCAUUCCUGUCGCUGGGCUUGGCCUCCUGCCUUGCUUGCUCAGUGUGUGUGCACAGUUGCUCGGCUCCCCGCUCCAAUGCCCAUGCCAUAGGAUGGCAUGGUGCCUGCUCACAGGAGUGGGAAGCCAACUUAAUGAGGGUACAGAUGAGCACUGUGAGUGGAUUUAGAUUGGCAUCCUGCUGGAUGCUUCUAUGCCAGUUCUCCAGAUGAAACUGGCCUCUUUUCUGCAAUAACUUUCUUUAAUUUUUAUUUUCAAAUCUAGACUGAAUUGAUCUGGAAAGGAAUUGCUGCCUGGUAGUACUAGGAAGUUAUUCACAGACAGCACGUGCUUUCCUUUAAGAAGGAUCUGUGGUGAGGAAUGAGUCAUGCACUGUGAGUCUUCCUUGUGUGUGGAUGCCAGGGCCUUGGUGCCACUCUCUGCUGAUUCCAUCAGAUGCGAUGACCAUCCCUGCUGUCAUCCCAUGCCACGUGUAUGCAUUCAGCGAGUGUCUCCUCAUGUUGUGGUGUGGAGAGUGAUGGAAGCACAUCCUAAAUUCUGAGCCACUGUUUUCCAAGGAGAUGAGAGUUGACAUUUAUUGACUGGGAGGCCCUAGACGUCAUGGUAAAAGUAUGAUGGAUUCAUAUCUCCAAAUAUUUGUAUGAACCAGCAAUUCAUAAAUAAUAACAGCACACAAUAAUGGAGCAAGAAAAAAAUGGAAUCAAGCAAUCUUGAAAGGAAAACAGGGAUGGAAAAACGAGAAGUUAUUAUUUGUCUGUUAUUCUAAUUGCAUGGGGUUAAAACCAGACUAGAAACAUCUGCUACUUUGAUUUUAUUGCUCAGCCUUUCCUCCUAAGUGGAGCGCUUCAAGAGAGCAGGAUCUGACCUGAAGUAAUCUAUAAAACUGUAUUCAUUACUUAGGCUUUCUUUUUGUGCUGAUUUAAAGGUUUGGCCAUUUUGAUUUCCUUUGGAUUAGCUGAGCUCAAGGGAACCCUGAAGGAAUGUGCCAUAGCUUUUUGUUAGUGGUUUUUUAUGUGAUGCAAUGGAUUAAAACUUUAAUGCAGGCAGUCAUUAAUUGUCAAAACCAAAGAUACCUCUAAACUUCUGUCUAUGAUUAUCCCUGUUGUGCUAUAUUUGAGACAUGUCAUGGUUUCUAUCAUUAAGAAGUCCUCCUUUUAAUGCCCCAUAAUGGGUAAAAGAUAGCCACAAAAAUGAUGCAUAUGGACAAAAUAUAAAGUGAAAUUACAGGUUUCCAUCCUGAAAUGAAACUACUGAUGAUGCAUACGCCAGACAGGAAUGACACAGAACAGAACUGUUAGUAAACAUAGGGUAAACUAUAAAUAUGCUUAAGACAGACAUCACGCAUUGUUACAAGUGACAAACGUUGCACUAGAAGAAAGAAAAAAGAUCACAAAUCUAGACAGACAGCAUUACUAAAAGUUGGAUAGCUGCAUGAUUCAUUCCCCAAAGAAAUCAAUGUCAGGAUGACAUUUUUCUUCAGGCAGUACUGGCAACUGCUCGUAAUUUGGGUAAACUUUCUCUGCCCUAUAAAAACAAACCAUCAAACCAAAAGGUAACCACUGAAACAGCUACCACUCAACCAAAAAAAAAAAAGUAGUAUUUUAAACAGAGCACAACAUAAAACUGCAUGAGUCAAUCUACCGUAAACUUUCGGCAAAUAGGAUGUGUCAUAGAGAUCAACUUUGGUGCUUCCAGAGAGCAGAGACUUAUACAGCAGGCUUUUUAGAAACAGACUUCGCUCCAAAUAGUAAUUCCCUAUUUUCAAUAAACUCUGACUGGCUGCAACUAGUUAUUUCUCCUGAUACAGACAGCCAAAAUAACGGACUUGUAAAUAGAAGCUUAUGGAGUUAGAUUAAUUACAGGGAUUACAUAUAGCAUUCUGUGCUUUUAAAACAAGAAGGGAUCAUUAUGACGAUCCCUGCUGGCCUCCUACGUAACAGAAGCCUUGCAGUGUCACUGACUGAUUCCUGCUCACAGCUGCAGGUGGUGCUGGGAAGUUUCCUGUACAAAAAUGUAUAUUUUUUAUUUAACUACAUCCAGUGAGUGAAAAUGCACCAACUAACUUUUUCUGGGGGCCAGUUGUGCUAAUUGUAUAACCUGCUAGUUCUUUCAUUAUGCAUUCCGCUCUGUAAUUAUUUCAGCAUACUGAAUACAUAAGGCUGUAUAAGUAAAACAGCGCAUUAAAGUGUCUUUCUGUCAAUUGUAGGCACAAAUGCCAAACAGUUCUACGUCUUGUAUCCCAAAAGCUGACUGAUGGCACUGUGCAUCACAGAGAGCAACCUUCACCCUGAAGUACUGCAGUUCUCAGCGGUGAACUUUUUUGGCACACAGCGAUGCAGAUUGUUGUUUCUACGUCAUUCCACAACUCUGUCUAAGAACUGUGUCCUCUUCAGCUUCCUGAGGGAAUCUACCACCAUCUGCAUCACAGAUCGAAACUGCAUGAUCCUGUUGAUAGUCACUUGGGAACUAUUAGCAUAACCUCUGUUUUUCUGUCUUUUAUUUUUAUAAUACUCACUGACUGGAAAAAUGAAUAAACAUGUGACUGUAAAUUGGCAUUUGGAAAAUCCAGAACUUUCACAGAAUAGUCAUGCGGAUGAUCACUUAUUCUCCAUUUCUAACCUUUGUAGUGGGCUAUGAGACUAAAAAGACCUCCUUCUGGCAACCCCCAAAGGUGAACAAGUUAGAAAAAUAGCUGCACUUGGAUACUUCGUUUCCUGACAUCAAAGCUUCUUGAGAGAGAAAUGUGCUAUUAUGAUGGCAUUAUUCUUUUUUCCUUCCUGUAAAAGAUGUGGCAGAUGUUCACUCAUUUGCGCAUUUAAAAUUCUGAUUCAUUCAGGAAAUCUGGAUAACAGAGUUGUCUAGGUUUCCUGUCAUCCUGUAGUCAGAGGUAGCAUUUUUAUUUGGAUAAUCUGGACCAGCAGUGGUCACCCCAUAUGUGGGUGUACACUGGAGGGAAGGCUAAAACACAGGAGGAAAUUUUCAUUGAACCCAUUGAGCCUGAAGUUGGCUAUACCUAACACUGCUUUAAUCAUUGAGGUGGCAGCUGUGCUACCUGCUCAUCUGGAAGCCCUGACCCAUUUUGGUACAAAAAGUUCUUGUUAUUCCAUCCUGAGAAGUUCUAACAUCUCUUUUGCUUCCAACAGGUCUUUGAAAUAGUUAUGUGAAGGGUGUGCACAUACAAAUGUGGUAGAAGAAAAAGGAGAGAGCAGGAGUUCCACAGAACUGCUUUUCCAGAGAUCUUAAGCAUCUCAGAGAUCCAGUGGAGCUGAGGAAAGCUGUGGCAGCUUGGCAGCACCACAGCCAGGGUGCCUGUAGCUCCACUGCUGCCAGUGCAGCAGCACAGGGUGAGCCAAUGUCUGACGGGAUGCUGGAACAGCUGUGGGAUGGUCCAGCUCCCUCCUCUGCCAUUCUCCAGGACCUCUCUUCCACCAGCUCUCUCCACACAGUGUUUGUGGCUAGUAGUGUGGCUUUCUCUGUCAGCUGGCUUCUGUGGAACAAUCACAAGCAGUCAGAACUGAAAUCCCAUUGAUACAGAAGAGGUGGGUGAAUUUAGGCUUUCUUUAAAAUACAAAUCAGCAAUACACACUUGAAACUCACACUUCCUUUAUUUUUUUCUUUCUGUCAGUGGAAAAUCAAGUGCUUUGAAUUUGGGAAAUGCCAGAUAUUUGUCUGUCUAGCCAGCUUAAAUUUAGUGUCGUGUUUGCGUGUUCUGGUAUGAUCUUCAGUUGCCUUCACUGCGGACUCUGUCUUCCCAGGGGCCUUGAUUAAGUUCAGUCUGGUUACAAAAUCAACACUUUGAAAUUAGCAAGUACGAAACUUGGCCUUUCCCAAGUAUCCUUCAUUCUGCAACUUCUCAGUUUUAUUCCUAGCUUCAAUAAACAAUGUCAAAAUUAAGGCAAUUGGGUCAAAUGCAAAUGUAUGAUUGCCUUAUUUCUGAAAGUUUGAUUUUGCAAAUGUUGCAGUCCAUUAAUACUCUUUUUUUCUUUUUUGUAAGUAAUGAACAAUAUAGAAAAAUUCCCUUAUAUUUUAAUAAUCUUAAGGGAUCAGCAGUGUGAAUGGGUUGUGGGUUACCAAUACAACAUUACUGCACUAUUGUAUCAGUUCAUUCAUUCAUAUGCACUCGUCAUCGCUUUUCAAGUAACUGAAGCUGUUACAAACUUCAAGAUAUUUGAAUGAGAAAAACCAAUAAUGUUUGGGUUAUCUGUGGAAAUUCAGCCUUUGUACUUUAAUAGAGGAGUAGAAUUAUGAGAAAACUGGCAGGUAUUUUAAAAUCAAUGGGAAGAGAAUCCCUCCAGAACUCAAAACAAAUUAUUAAGAAGUUUUGGAAAACAACUUCAGACAGAACAAAAUCCAAAUAUCAUAGACUCUUCUAAAUUAUUAUUAUUUUGAGUCUUGCAGCAGGCUGCUGAGCUGAGGCUUGGCACCUUGCUUUUGCUCUGGUUACUGACCAGCUGCAGAUCUGGACAUUCAGUGUUUUGUUUAUUUACCAGGUUGGCCUUUAUUGUAGGUUCUCCCUUUCCUUCAUCUGAAUGUCUAAGGUGAAUCUAGUAAUAACAAUAUCCUAGAAGUUCUCAGCUCUAAUUUAUUUUCUUUUUCUGCAAAGAAUCCUUUGCUGACUUUUUUGUACUGCAAUGCCAGUGGAGGCGAAGAAAUGCAGUUGAAUUGUUAAGACAGAGCCUUUCCCAAAUGGCUUUUCUCCGUUGCAACACACUGACUAAAUAUGACAAAGUUUUCUGCAUCAACAGUACUUUGCUGCAUCUGUGUGUGUUGACCCCUUACAAAAAGUAAAAGCUUUUUGCUGUAAGUGCCCAAAGGCAUGUGAACUCCUGUUGUUUGUAUCUAUAAACUAAAAGUGGUUAAAAGUGACUUGAGUUUUGAGAAGAUAUUAUUGUGAGAUAUUUGUUUAUCUGAAACAGAAUGACACUUGAUAUCAUUUUUGGACUAAAUGCAACUACGCACCAUUUUGAGUAUCAAAGGAACAGCCUAGCACCCACAUGGGGAAAAUUGUUAGGAGUGGUUUGUAUCAUCAGCUGGUUUGUUUGUUACUUUGGGUUUGUUUCAGCAAAAUGAGUGCAGCACUUUGUUAUCUUGGGGAUACAUCCAGUCCUGAGACGGGACACAGAACACACAAAGCAUGCAGGCUAUUGUACUUUUUUGUAGUGUAAAAGGGAUGAGGCUUGACCCAGAUUCUUGCCUUAUGCUUCAAAGCAGCUCUUGUAGAAGUAGCACUGCUUCCAGUUUCUCUAAUAGGUACCACAUGUAAAGUCUUCUUUAAGACUUAUUACUAAGCCCACAUUUAAAAUUAAGUUUGCUCUGAAGAGAAAGUCCCUGGGGAAGGGCAGGUGGGAAGCCUGCAACAUCUCCUUAUACAUAAUUUGGGGAAAUAAAACCUUUUAAUAGUCCAGCUUCACAGCUGGCCGAUUUCACAGACUGUCAAGGAUGGGUUGAUGUGCUCAACCUUGAACACACAGCCCUUCCUUGUUAGUUUUAUGAUGUUUUCCUGUUACUUUCAGGUUUCCCUUGGCUAGAAGGAAAUGAGCUGAAAAAAUUGAUUAGAUAUUAAGGUGACUUUUAUUGUUAUGGAGAACUCCUAUAAAAAUUCCUUGGUGACUCCACUUCCUUGAACACCUGUCAACAGACUGCCCAGUGGAAUGAGAGUCCAAUAGGAAACGAGUAGGUUUAGAUAAAUUCCGUGACAAGAAGGUCUAAGUUAACAAAAUUAAAAACAUUCCUCAUAUCUUUUCCCCAGGCAUGCAUAUUCUUCCACUUGCAAUCCACAGAGAGAGAUGUGUGAUACAGACAGGGGAAUUUGGCUCCAAGCCUGGCAGGCCAAACAUAUGAAAAAGAUUGUUCCAGUAAGGUCUCCAUAAGUUGAUCAAAGCCUGCUGAAAUUGAACACGUAGAGCUGUUUGGUUGGUGACUGAGCUGGAGAAAACUCUCGAAGAAGGUUGCCAUUCCAAUAUACGAAGAACUGUAACAUCUCUUUUUAGGAAGAAAAUAAAGGUAAAUUUCAGAAUGCCACGUUAUGUAGCAGUUUUUCCAUGACAUACAGCUAUUUUACACUAAAAAUGGGCCCCUUAGGAAUAAUUCAUGGAAUCAGAUUGAAGCACCAGGACUGACAGAUGCAACGUGAAGAGGAGGGCCGAGAGGAGCAAGGUUUAUGCAGUCACUUCACUACAUUUCACUCAAGGUGUAAAUAUGAAAACCACCUGAGCAGUUAAUAAAGUGUUGUGUAGCAUUUUCAUUGGCUAGAAGUGUUGUUAUUCUGCUAUUUCUAAAGAUAAAAUGGACCACGCGGGGGAAAAAAAACAACAAAAUUGUUGUCAAGGUGUAGUUUGAAUGGAUGCUGUUGAAAGUGGGAUUUUUAUUUUGGAUUUGACUGCUGUUGUUUAUGAAUACCCACAGCUCAAUUCAGUAGGAGAGAAAAAGUUGGUAGUCUUGCUUGUCCAAAACCUCCCUCUUUGAUUCCCACAGGCAUAUGCAGUUGGCCUACAGCUGAGUCUGUUGGGCAUGGCAGUUUCUUGGAAUAUUUGAUGUGGGUUUGUGGUAACUGCAGUAGA